UGGAAGCAAAGGAAGCCACUCUGAGCCUAU
rnacentral:piRNA from 1 species